CCUACGGGCGGCUGCAGUGAGGCAUAUUGGUCAAUGGACGAGAGUCUGAACCAGCCAAGUAGCGUGAAGGAUGACUGCCCUAUGGGUUGUAAACUUCUUUUAUAUGGGAAUAAAAUGUUCCACGUGUGGGAUUUUGUAUGUACCAUAUGAAUAAGGAUCGGCUAACUCCGUGCCAGCAGCCGCGGUAAUACGGCGGAUCCGAGCGUUAUCCGGAUUUAUUGGGUUUAAAGGGAGCGUAGGUGGAUUGUUAAGUCAGUUGUGAAAGUUUGCGGCUCAACCGUAAAAUUGCAGUUGAAACUGGCAGUCUUGAGGACAGUAGAGGUGGGCGGAAUUCGUGGUGUAGCGGUGAAAUGCUUAGAUAUCACGAAGAACUCCGAUUGCGAAGGCAGUUCACUGGACUGCAACUGACACUGAGGCUCGAAAGUGUGGGUAUCAAACAGGAUUAGAUACCCGAGUAGUC
rnacentral:rRNA from 1 species